CUGAACUUAGGAGUAUUGUGGGCAAUGUCUCCUUUUUGUUUUCUCUCCAUCGCACAAAAACUUAAAAGGACAUCUUCCUCCAGAGCUGGUGGCAAGACACUGGCCAUACAGCGUGCCCUGCAGACACUGGCGGGGGUCAGGUGUCCAGCAUCAUAUGGGUCUGCAGUGAGGAAUAUUUGGAUCUGCAAUGGGGAACGUGGCCAACCCAGAGCUCAGGGCUUGAGGCUAAAUGUGCGCAGCCCGUUCCAUGAAGCUGCUAGCUGCUGCAGCCUGUAGCAUGAAGCACUGUAUUCCCCAAAUGCCUGACCAUACAAAGGAACAGAAGGCAUUAUCUGCAUGUCUCAAGAGAGGAGAGACUGCGAUUUGCUGCAGCACCUGACUUCCUCAGCAGCCAGGCACUCCUGCAGCGAGCAGCACGCCGGUGACUCACCCAGCGUCAGACAGAAAGUCUGCAGCACCACGACGGCAACUUCACUCCUCUGUGCACACAGAGCACUUCCAGCAUCCAGGGUGCAGUGACACUUCCCCUCACUCCCUCCGAGCAGCAUUAUUUCAUCGUGUCUGCCAGGCACAACUUGCUGCUGGAAUUUGAUGCUUUUAUCUCUGCUCUUUGAUGGACACCCCAGUGGCACAUUUGACUCAUCCUAUUUCUAAUGUUGUCGUGAUAGGAUUCAACACCCCCUCCGUUCUCCCCAGACUCUGUAGAAAAGGUAAAUUUGGAAACCUUUUGCUCAGAGUGACUGAUGAUAGCAGCUCUGUUGUGCCUGAGAAAAUCUCUCACAAUCUAUGAGUUCAAAAACCAUAGGAAUGUUGUUGCUAUGGCUGUGCAUUGUGUUGACUGUGGCUGAGCAAGGUGCACAAC
rnacentral:lncRNA from 1 species